ensembl:lncRNA
ACGCCAUCCUUCUUUUGCCUGUCCAGGUCAUCCAGUGAUCCAUGAGGGGGGAGGGAGGGGGAGGCAGUCUGUCUCCUACUAACAUUGUGUCCACGGGACUCCAGAAUGGGCUCCGUCAGCAGAACCAAGGACACGAGGUACGGACGAGGAGACGGCGAGGUGAGGACAGGAGGCUGAGUCCAGUUACGCAAGCCUGUCUCUCGCUCCUCGUCUUUUAUUUUUUCUCGCCGGCAGACUCUCCUCCUCCCCCCCCGGCAAUCCAUCAUCGUGCACAGCAUCGGCAAUUGGGCGAAUAUUAAUGCCAUCCACAACCCGGUUUCCCCCCCCCCCCCCUACACACACACACACACAAAAGAUGACAUGGAGCCACCGCCCAUAAUUCAGUAAGCUCUGACCCGACUACGGUGAGACAUAAAACACUCCGUUUAAAGGGCAUAAGCAGCUUUUACGGCAAUGAAUGUCAACCUAUAUGCCCCUUUAACACACACGCACACACACGCACACACACUCACACACACACACACACACACGUCUUUACAGUAAACUGCUAUACUUAUGAGGACCAAGGUCCAGGGCUGUUGUGCCUUAUUAAAUAUGCAUUUCUGCUAUCAGAAAAUGACUCGCUUGAUUACCUAAUAUGGGCGGGGCUAUCUCCGAUUGACAGCUUGCCAACACGCCACUUGUCUUACAUCCACUUCUGACGUUCGGGUCUUUGGUCACGAAAAGUUUUCGCAGAGAAAGAAGAACCCACAGUUGCUCCCUUCGCAUCUGAGAUGCUGCUUUUGUCGCCGUGUGCGGGCAAGCGUGUCUGCUUGCGAGGCAGACGGCGACGGAGCGAGCCGGAGACGGGAGGAGAAGGACGAGUGAGUUGGGUUGAGUCUCGUAUGUGGAGGAGUUUAUACUUCACGGCUCUCCAAAUUGGAGCCGUUGGCGGCUCCCGGGCCUCCCUCGCUCAUGCGUACGUGGGCAGCGGAUCAAUCUCACAGCCCUCCUCAGACGCUUCCCAGCAGGAAAUCCCGUCCCAUUUGCAUGUGUCACUCGGCGCGAGCUCGCCGAUGGGCGCGCCCACGUGUCGGGUCUAGGGGGACGGGAGCGUGCACCGAGGAAUCGCUUCGAACCGGAACACUCGACUCCAGAUCUUUGGCAUGUUCCUCAUGUCACCCCGAUUGCCAAGUCAGAUUAUUGUCCCAGUGCCAGUCUGCUCGUCGCUGGGACAUGACGGAGGGGGGACGGGGGGCAUUGUUUGCAUUUGAGUGUCCUUCCUUUGAGCGAUCAAGAAGGCUUGAUUUGGGUAGGUGGCUUAUUAACACCCCAACACACCCUCACCAGGACGUCCACUGGCGGUCGUCAGCCGAAGGCCUCCAGCGGCGCCAUUGUCUGAAUUCGACUUGACAUUUCCUCCGCCUUCUUCCGUUAAUGCCGUCUGGUCGUCCGUCCAGACAGCCGGCGCAGAGAUUAACUACCUCUGAGAUUCGUUCCAGCAUUAAGGAGAGAAAUGACACCAGGCUGCAGGGGGGGGCAUCAUGUUAACAUCAGGGAGAAACCAGGACGGUUGGAAAAUGGGCACAAAGGACAUUUACAAUGUUUUAGUAUUUUACGAGACGACUUUGUGGCAGCGCUGGGAUCUGUUUCCGUAUCGGGGGGGAAAGACGCAUUCUUGUUAGCAAAGGCUUUAUUUAUGUAGCUGGAAGCAGCGAACAACACACAGAUAUGCAGACCACCGUUUGCUGGACUGAGGAAAUUAACUUUUCUCACCGUCUCCCCUUUAUUAUGUGCAGAAUGCAAAGCUGCCCUUUAAAUAUCACAUAGUUAAAGGUAAUGAACACAUAUUUCUUUAGGCCCCAGUUAAAGAUCAAAUGUUAUUUCCAUUGGAGAGGCAGGCUGUCAUUAGCUAAAUGCUGCCUCGCCCUACGGGAUUAAUAUUCCCUACUCCAAAUUAAGCCCUGCGCUCCGUCGCCAUCGCGCCUGACCACAGCUUAAAAUCUCAGUGGACUCUCUGAGGAUUCGCACUGACGUCAUCGGGUAGCGUAGACGCUCCGUAGUGGCCUUUGUCUGAUUCGUUGGGGCUGGUCGCGGCGCACUGAACGCCCCAUGCGGGGGUCAACGCUCGCUUAUAAUGGUUUAAAUAAGCCGCGUCUAUAACUUAAAUAAUGCUUUCUCACUAUGUUUCAAUCACAAUUCAUAUAUAGUGUCAAUUAGAAACAAGUUUCCCUGGAAAUGUAAGUGAGAAACCACAUGG